rnacentral:rRNA from 1 species
AAAGCACCGGCUAACUACGUGCCAGCAGCCGCGGUAAUACGUAGGGUGCAAGCGUUGUCCGGAAUUAUUGGGCGUAAAGAGCUCGUAGGCGGUUUGUCGCGUCUGCUGUGAAAAUCCAAGGCUCAACCUUGGACCUGCAGUGGGUACGGGCAGACUAGAGUGCGGUAGGGGAGAUGGGAAUUCCUGGUGUAGCGGUGGAAUGCGCAGAUAUCAGGAGGAACACCAAUGGCGAAGGCACAUCUCUGGGCCGUAACUGACGCUGAGGAGCGAAAGCGUGGGGAGCGAACAGGAUUAGAUACCCUGGUAGUCCACGCCGUAAACGGUGGGUGCUAGUUGUGGGCCACAUUCCACGUGGUCCGUGACGAAGUUAACACAUUAAGCACCCCGCCUGGGGAGUACGGUCGCAAGACUAAAACUCAAAGGAAUUGACGGGGGCC